GACGUAGGGGGCCAGCGUUGCUCGGAAUUACUGGGCGUAAAGGGUCCGUAGGCGGUGCGGUAAGUCGGGAGUGAAAUCUCUGGGCUUAACUCAGAGGCUGCUUCCGAAACUACCGUGCUAGAGUGCGAGAGAGGCAAGUGGAAUUGCGGGUGUAGCGGUGAAAUGCGUAGAUAUCCGCAGGAACAACCGAGGCGAAAGCGGCUUGCUGGAGCGCAACUGACGCUGAGGGACGAAAGCUAGGGGAGCAAACAGG
rnacentral:rRNA from 1 species